rnacentral:rRNA from 1 species
CCUACGGGAGGCAGCAGUAGGGAAUCUUUCACAAUGGGCGAAAGCCUGAUGGAGCAACGCCGCGUGCAGGAUGAAGGCCUUCGGGUUGUAAACUGCUUUUAUAAGCGAGAAAUAUGAUGGUAACUUAUGAAUAAGGAUCGGCUAACUACGUGCCAGCAGCCGCGGUCAUACGUAGGAUCCGAGCAUUAUCCGGAGUGACUGGGUGUAAAGAGUUGCGUAGGUGGCAUAAUAAGUAGCUAGUGAAAUCUGGUGGCUCAACCAUUCAGACUAUUAGCUAAACUGUUAAGCUCGAGACCGUUAGGGGUAACUGGAAUUUCUAGUGUAGGAGUGAAAUCCGUAGAUAUUAGAAGGAACACCAAUAGCGUAGGCAGGUUGCUGGGACGGUUCUGACACUAAGGCACGAAAGCGUAGGGAGCAAACGGGAUUAGAUACCCGAGUGGUC